AAAAAGAGAGAGAGAAAAAUGGAGGCAGGCUUGAGCUUCGUCUUUCACUGUGGGCCUACCCUGCUCUAGCAGACGGACUACUAUCAGAGACUCGAACUAGGGUCGUUAAACUCUGGAGUCCGAAUGCUGGCCUCUUAACGCUGUACACCACUGAGCAGGGCGAGUAAACUUUGGAAAAAAAAGGACAUUUAUCUUUUGUUCUUCAAGUUUUUAUUUUUUUUUUGUUAUUGUUUUUCUAAAUCUAUUAAGCUUCUUGUGCAAUAUUGUUCCACACAAAUUACACAUGGACACCUAGCUAUUUUUUUAUUGGCAUUCACAAAAUGGGACUGGAUGUUGGACGGCUUACCAAAGCCUUCCUGCUACCCGAAUCCCUGCUUGGAAACCUGCUGGCGGCGGCGGCACCAUGUUCUCACCACACUCUUCAGCUUCAGCUGUCUUUUUUGCCUCAUGGCUAUACCCACACUGACCACUCCUUCAAUGAAGAGCUGGGAUGCUCGUCUUCUGAUGGAGCGCUCUCGAGCUGUGAUGGGUCCAGAUAUCAGCGCUCACCUGGCUGGUACCAAGAAGGUUCAGCAAGUGCUCGCCAGACCUGGAGUCCUGGAGAGGUUCUUCCCGGACCAGCCUCAAGCUGUGCAGCAGAUCUGAGCGACAUUGGCUGACCUCUACACUCCAGACAUGGGUGCAGAGAGGGACAAAACAGUAUCAAUGGCCUUGGCAGCAGCAGAACGGUUGGUCUUGAAGCCUCAGCGAGAAGGAGGAGGUACAGCGGGGGGACAGACGCAUCUUUAAAAAUGUUGACAAUGCAGCAAAUGCUGAAACUUCUGUUUAUUGCUCACCAUUUGCAGCUUUAAUGGCUUCCAUUUGUCAGCCAAGGUUUUUCCUACAAGAUUUUUUUUAACAUGUCUGUGGAUUUUUUCUGUUUUUUGUGCCCAUUCAUCCAGAAGAGCAUUUGUUAGGUCAAACACCGAUGUUGGACGUUUACAAUCUCCAUUCUGGUUCAUCA